CGGAGAGUUUGAUCCUGGCUCAGGACGAACGCUGGCGGCGUGCGUAAUACAUGCAAGUCGAGCGGGGUUUAGAAGCUUGCUUCUAAACAACCUAGCGGCGGACGGGUGAGUAACACGUAGGCAACCUGCCCACAAGACAGGGAUAACUACCGGAAACGGUAGCUAAUACCCGAUACAUCCUUUUCCUGCAUGGGAGAAGGAGGAAAGACGGAGCAAUCUGUCACUUGUGGAUGGGCCUGCGGCGCAUUAGCUAGUUGGUGGGGUAAAGGCCUACCAAGGCGACGAUGCGUAGCCGACCUGAGAGGGUGAUCGGCCACACUGGGACUGAGACACGGCCCAGACUCCUACGGGAGGCAGCAGUAGGGAAUCUUCCGCAAUGGGCGAAAGCCUGACGGAGCAACGCCGCGUGAGUGAUGAAGGUUUUCGGAUCGUAAAGCUCUGUUGCCAGGGAAGAACGUCUUGUAGAGUAACUGCUACAAGAGUGACGGUACCUGAGAAGAAAGCCCCGGCUAACUACGUGCCAGCAGCCGCGGUAAUACGUAGGGGGCAAGCGUUGUCCGGAAUUAUUGGGCGUAAAGCGCGCGCAGGCGGCUCUUUAAGUCUGGUGUUUAAUCCCGAGGCUCAACUUCGGGUCGCACUGGAAAC
rnacentral:rRNA from 1 species